rnacentral:rRNA from 1 species
UUGAGUUUGAUCCUGGCUCAGGACGAACGCUGGCGGCGCGCCUAACACAUGCAAGUCGAACGAGCGAGAGAGAGCUUGCUUUCUUGAGCGAGUGGCGAACGGGUGAGUAACGCGUGAGGAACCUGCCUCAAAGAGGGGGACAACAGUUGGAAACGACUGCUAAUACCGCAUAAGCCCACGGCUCGGCAUCGAGCAGAGGGAAAAGGAGCAAUCCGCUUUGAGAUGGCCUCGCGUCCGAUUAGCUGGUUGGUGAGGUAACGGCCCACCAAGGCGACGAUCGGUAGCCGGACUGAGAGGUUGAACGGCCACAUUGGGACUGAGACACGGCCCAGACUCCUACGGGAGGCAGCAGUGGGGAAUAUUGCACAAUGGGGGAAACCCUGAUGCAGCGACGCCGCGUGGAGGAAGAAGGUCUUCGGAUUGUAAACUCCUGUUGUUGAGGAAGAUAAUGACGGUACUCAACAAGGAAGUGACGGCUAACUACGUGCCAGCAGCCGCGGUAAAACGUAGGUCACAAGCGUUGUCCGGAAUUACUGGGUGUAAAGGGGGCGCAGGCGGGAAGACAAGUUGGAAGUGAAAUCCAUGGGCUCAACCCAUGAACUGCUUUCAAAACUGUUUUUCUUGAGUAGUGCAGAGGUAGGCGGAAUUCCCGGUGUAGCGGUGGAAUGCGUAGAUAUCGGGAGGAACACCCAGUGGGUAAGGCGGCCUACUGGGGCUCUAACGAUCGUCUGAGGCUCGAAAGUGUGGUAGCAAACAGGAUUUGAUACCCUGGUAGUCCACCCUGUAAACGAUGAUUACUAGGUGUUGGAGGAUUCACCCCUUCAGUGCGCGCAGUUAACACAAUAAGUAAUCCACCUGGGGAAGUACGACCGCAAGGUUGAAACUCAAAGGAAUUGACGGGGGCCCGCACAAGCAGUGGAGUAUGUGGUUUAAUUUGACGCAACGCGAAGAACCUUACCAAGUCUUGACAUCCUGCGACGCACAUAGAAAUAUGUGUUUCCUUCGGGACGCAGAGACAGGUGGUGCAUGGUUGUCGUCAGCUCGUGUCGUGAGAUGUUGGGUUAAGUCCCGCAACGAGCGCAACCCUUAUGGUCAGUUACUACGCAAGAGGACUCUGGCCAGACUGCCGUUGACAAAACGGAGGAAGGUGGGGAUGACGUCAAAUCAUCAUGCCCUUUAUGACUUGGGCUACACACGUACUACAAUGGCGUUAAACAAAGAGAAGCAAGACCGCGAGGUGGAGCAAAACUCAGAAACAACGUCCCAGUUCGGACUGCAGGCUGCAACUCGCCUGCACGAAGUCGGAAUUGCUAGUAAUCGCAGAUCAGCAUGCUGCGGUGAAUACGUUCCCGGGCCUUGUACACACCGCCCGUCA